UGGAGAGUUUGAUCCUGGCUCAGAUUGAACGCUGGCGGCAGGCCUAACACAUGCAAGUCGAACGGUAACAGGAAGCAGCUUGCUGCUUCGCUGACGAGUGGCGGACGGGUGAGUAAUGUCUGGGAAACUGCCUGAUGGAGGGGGAUAACUACUGGAAACGGUAGCUAAUACCGCAUAACGUCGCAAGACCAAAGAGGGGGACCUUCGGGCCUCUUGCCAUCGGAUGUGCCCAGAUGGGAUUAGCUAGUAGGUGGGGUAACGGCUCACCUAGGCGACGAUCCCUAGCUGGUCUGAGAGGAUGACCAGCCACACUGGAACUGAGACACGGUCCAGACUCCUACGGGAGGCAGCAGUGGGGAAUAUUGCACAAUGGGCGCAAGCCUGAUGCAGCCAUGCCGCGUGUAUGAAGAAGGCCUUCGGGUUGUAAAGUACUUUCAGCGGGGAGGAAGGCGAUAAGGUUAAUAACCUUGUCGAUUGACGUUACCCGCAGAAGAAGCACCGGCUAACUCCGUGCCAGCAGCCGCGGUA
rnacentral:rRNA from 1 species